rnacentral:rRNA from 1 species
GAUGAACGCUAGCGAUAGGCUUAACACAUGCCAGUCGAGGGGCAGCAUGGUCUUAGCUUGCUAAGACUGAUGGCGACCGGCGCACGGGUGCGUAACGCGUAUGCAACUUGCCUCACAGAGGGGGAUAACCCGUCGAAAGACGGACUAAUACCGCGUACACUUGGGAUAGGGCAUCCUGACCCAAGGAAAUGAAAUUCGCUGUGAGAUAGGCAUGCGUCCCAUUAGCUAGUUGGUGAGGUAACGGCUCACCAAGGCGACGAUGGGUAGGGGAACUGAGAGGUUGAACCCCCACACUGGUACUGAGACACGGACCAGACUCCUACGGGAGGCAGCAGUGAGGAAUAUUGGUCAAUGGGCGAGAGCCUGAACCAGCCAAGUCGCGUGAAGGAUGACUGUCUUAUGGAUUGUAAACUUCUUUUAUACGGGAAUAACAAGAGCCACGUGUGGCUCCCUGCAUGUACCGUAUGUAUAAGCAUCGGCUAACUCCGUG